UCUUUGCGAGAUCAUCAAUGCGGCGUGU
rnacentral:sRNA from 1 species